UUAAGUUAUUAAGGGCGCACGGUGGAUGCCUUGGCACUAGAAGCCGAUGAAGGACGUUACUAACGACGAUAUGCUUUGGGGAGCUGUAAGUAAGCUUUGAUCCAGAGAUUUCCGAAUGGGGAAACCCAGCAUGAGUUAUGUCAUGUUAUCGAUAUGUGAAUACAUAGCAUAUC
rnacentral:rRNA from 1 species